CUGCGAUGAUGACCUUCUUAGGACACCUUUGGAUUAACUGUGAAAACAAGGAAAUUCUGAGCAGC